CCUACGGGAGGCAGCAGUGGGGAAUCUUGCGCAAUGGGCGAAAGCCUGACGCAGCCAUGCCGCGUGUAUGAUGAAGGUCUUAGGAUUGUAAAAUACUUUCACCGGUGAAGAUAAUGACUGUAGCCGGAGAAGAAGCCCCGGCUAACUUCGUGCCAGCAGCCGCGGUAAUACGAAGGGGGCUAGCGUUGCUCGGAAUUACUGGGCGUAAAGGGAGCGUAGGCGGACAUUUAAGUCAGAGGUGAAAUCCCGGAGCUUAACUUCGGAACUGCCUUUGAUACUGGGUGUCUUGAGUGUGAGAGAGGUAUGUGGAACUCCGAGUGUAGAGGUGAAAUUCGUAGAUAUUCGGAAGAACACCAGUGGCGAAGGCGACAUACUGGCUCAUUACUGACGCUGAGGCUCGAAAGCGUGGGGAGCAAACAGGAUUAGAUACCCUGGUAGUCCACGCCGUAAACGAUGAUUGCUAGUUGUCGGGAAGCUUGCUUCUCGGUGACGCNGCUACGACAUAGUACAUACGCCGUCGGAGGUACGGUCGCGAGAUAAACUACAAUAGAGUAGACGCGNGAGAGUGCCGACGACGACGACGAGGGAGGUUAGG
rnacentral:rRNA from 1 species